rnacentral:RNase_P_RNA from 1 species
GAAGCACGCCAGACCGCCGCUGGUGCGAUCGUCGAAAGACGGCACUGGAGGAAGGUCCGGACUGCACAGGGCAGCGUAGCAGGCAACACCUGUCCGCCGCGAGGCGAGGAUCAGAGCAACAGAGACGAGUCGCGGUGCUUGCACCGCGGGUGAAACGGGCAAUCUCUACGCGCAGCAAUACCAAAUAGGCCGGCACUGAUGUGGUCCCGCGGAGCCGGCGGGUAGGUAGCACCGAGCCGGUGGGGCGACCCCCGGCCCAGAGGAAUGGCGGUCACGGAAGGAGAAAUCCUUCCGCACAAAAUCCGGCCUAUCGGCGAGCUUCACAC